rnacentral:lncRNA from 1 species
CAGCAAUCUGAUCUUUUUUGGGAGGAUAGAGAGGCUUUACUUGAGGUUGUUCAAUUUUUCCAUUAGAUGCAUUAGACUUGGGAACCUGUCUUUCGAUGUUACUGGAAAUUCUGGGAAAAUGAAAUAUGCAAAUAAGACAUUUAUCUUUUCCUAUGUUAUCUAUAACACCUCUUCUAUUAUUUGAAUUAGAAAGUGAUUGUGUUUUUUCUAAUUACAGGGACAAGUUUCUUAAACAAUGGGGCCAAUCUAAAAGAAGUUUGAAGGCCUGCAAUGGAAGUUUUUGCUUUUUGACCAUAUGUAUAUGCAUAUACAAUUGAAAUAUUUUUUUUUAUUUUGAUCACAUGUAUGUAUAUGGAUACAACAUUAAUGGA